rnacentral:rRNA from 1 species
ACUCCUACGGGAGGCAGCAGUGGGGAAUAUUGGACAAUGGGCGAAAGCCUGAUCCAGCAAUGCCGCGUGAGUGAUGAAGGCCUUAGGGUUGUAAAGCUCUUUUACCCGGGAUGAUAAUGACAGUACCGGGAGAAUAAGCCCCGGCUAACUCCGUGCCAGCAGCCGCGGUAAUACGGAGGGGGCUAGCGUUGUUCGGAAUUACUGGGCGUAAAGCGCGCGUAGGCGGCUUUGUAAGUUAGAGGUGAAAGCCCGGAGCUCAACUUCGGAAUUGCCUUUAAGACUGCAUCGCUAGAAUCGUGGAGAGGUGAGUGGAAUUCCGAGUGUAGAGGUGAAAUUCGUAGAUAUUCGGAAGAACACCAGUGGCGAAGGCGACUCACUGGACACGUAUUGACGCUGAGGUGCGAAAGCGUGGGGAGCAAACAGGAUUAGAAACCCCAGUAGUCCCA